rnacentral:rRNA from 1 species
AUCUGUGGCCAUGCUGCCCCAAACAAGCCCGAUCCCGUCUGAUCUUGAAAGCUAAGCAAGUUUGGGCCUGAUUAGUACUUGGAUGGGAGACCACCUAGAAAGACUAGGUGCUGUAGGUG